GAAUAUUGGACAAUGGGGGGAACCCUGAUCCAGCCAUGCCGCGUGUGUGAAGACGUCCUUUUGGUUGUAAAGCACUUUAAGCGAGGACGAGGCUACUCUAGUUAAUACCUAGAGAUCGUUGACGUUACUCGCAGAAUAAGCACCGGCUAACCCUGUUCCAGCAGCCGCGGUAAUACAGAGGGUGCAAGCGUUAAUCGGAUUUACUGGGCGUAAAGCGCGCGGAGGUGGCAAAUUAAGUCAAAUGUGAAAUCCCCGAGCUUAACUUGGGAAUUGCAUUCGAUACUGGUUGGCUAGAGUAUGGGAGAGGAUGGUAGAAUUCCAGGUGUAGCGGUGAAAUGCGUAGAGAUCUGGAGGAAUACCGAUGGCGAAGGCAGCCAUCUGGCCUAAUACUGACACUGAGGUGCGAAAGCAUGGGGAGCAAACA
rnacentral:rRNA from 1 species